rnacentral:lncRNA from 10 species
AUCAACCAACAUUCUGUAUCUUCAACAGCCACAACCCCAUAUAAUGAUGGCUGAUGGACAUAGACAGCAAUAUCCUGGAAGCCUACCAGAGCCUAAAGAACCUUCUGAAUCACCAAAGAAAGAUUAAGUGAGAGGUGGAGAAGGGUGAAGUAGAGAAAGAAGUCAGAAGAGGAGCAAGAGAAGCCACUUUCCUUACACUCAAUAA